UGUCAAGCACAGUUAAUUAUAUUUACUAGAAGUCUCUCACCUCUCAUACUCAUGCACCUUAAUCAUACACACAGUGGAAAUCUAUAAAGGCCUAGAAUAAAAGGAGUGUGUUUAAAUGCUGCCUUUAGGACAGACAAGAAGAUAUAUCUGAGAUUUUUAAAAUAAGAUAUGCAGUGGACCAGAGGGUGGAAUGUAAUGGUGCUCAUCAGUGUGUAAUGAAGCAUAUUUGAAGAGCUGACUUCCUGAAUUGUUAUGGAGAAGGUGUCAGAUAAGGCAAGCAGGUGGAAGAUGGCCGCACCCUUUCUGAAUACAACAUCCAGAAAGAGUCAACUUUCCACCUCAUCCUGUGCCUGAGGGGUUAUAUGCAGAUCUUCCUGAAGACCCUGACCUGCAAGACCAUUACCCUGGAGGUGGAGCCCAGUGACACUAUUGAAAAUGUGAAGGCCAAGAUCCAGGAUAAAGAGGGCACCCCCCUGACCAGCAGAGGCUCAUCGUUGCAGGUUUUUAUUAUUUUAAUCUGUGUUUAGCACAGAGAAGAUCCUGGAUACAUUUUUUUUUUUUUUGGAAUAAAUAAAUCAUGAAAUC
rnacentral:lncRNA from 1 species